rnacentral:sRNA from 1 species
UUUAGAUUCUCAAUCAUCAGGGUCCAGCAACAAAAAACCCCGACUUUCGGGGUUUUUUGUUAUCUAAAUUUCUCAAGCUGAGAUUUUAGAUAGUUGCUUGGGAUUUAAAUUGGGCUCUGUGCCCUUUUUUU